AAAGGUAGAUAGACAAUAGCUUGAUUUCAAGAGGAAAGUCCGUGCUGCAGUGAAGCAAGGUUCCAUCUAACGGAUGGCUAGAGUAAUCUAAGGGAUAGUGCAACAGAAAGUAUACAGCCAAUUUUUGGUGAUGGUGAAACGGUAGAGUAAGAGCCUACCAGUGUUUUGAGUAAUCUUAACAGCUUUGUAAACCCAACUUCACAUUUUUCGUCUUCGCAUGAGUAUUAAAGUGAUUUAAUACCUAGAUAAAUUAUUGUCAAAUACAAAACACGGCUUAUAAUCUACCUUUUAAA
rnacentral:RNase_P_RNA from 2 species